rfam:Brassica napus, WGS project CCCW01000000 data, contig: 20946
GGAAUAUAAGAGUCCGCUUCUUAACUUUUAACUAAAAAAACUAAGAACCGGCUCUUAAAUAAGAGUUUUAAGAGUCGGUUUUUAGUUUUUUUAGUUAAAAGUUAAAGAGACAGAUUCUUAUAUUCC